UACGUAGGAGGCGAGCGUUGUCCGGAAUCACUGGGUGUAAAGCGCGUGUAGGCGGCCUGUCAAGUCUGCUGUGAAAGCGCCUGGCUUAACCGGGCGAGGUCGGUGGAAACUGGCGGGCUGGAGGCCGGUAGAGGGGGGUGGAAUUCCCGGUGUAGUGGUGAAAUGCGUAGAGAUCCGGAGGAAUACCAGUGGCGCAAGCGGCGCUCUGGGUCGAGCCUGACACUGAGACGCGAAGGCAUGGGGAGCGAACGGG
rnacentral:rRNA from 1 species